rnacentral:rRNA from 1 species
GACGAACGCUGGCGGCGUGCCUAAUACAUGCAAGUUGAGCGCUGAAGGCUGGUACUUGUACCAACUGGAUGAGCAGCGAACGGGUGAGUAACGCGUGGGGAAUCUGCCUUUGAGCGGGGGGCAACAUUUGGAAACGAAUGCUAAUACCGCAUAAAAACUUUAAACACAAGUUUUACGUUUGAAAGAUGCAAUUGCAUCACUCAAAGAUGAUCCCGCGUUGUAUUAGCUAGUUGGUGAGGUAAAGGCACACCAAGGCGAUGAUACAUAGCCGACCUGAGAGGGUGAUCGGCCACAUUGGGACUGAGACACGGCCCAAACUCCUACGGGAGGCAGCAGUAGGGAAUCUUCGGCAAUGGACGAAAGUCUGACCGAGCAACGCCGCGUGAGUGAAGAAGGUUUUCGGAUCGUAAAACUCUGUUGGUAGAGAAGAACGUUGGUGAGAGUGGAAAGCUCAUCAAGUGACGGGAACGACCCAGAAAGGGACGGCUAACUACGU